rnacentral:rRNA from 1 species
AAUGAACGCUGGCGGCGUGCUUAACACAUGCAAGUCGAACGAGAAAACCCCUUCGGGGUGAGUAGAGUGGCGAACGGGUGAGUAACGCGUAAGAAUUUACCAUUCAGUGAAGAAUACCUUCGAGAAAUCGAAGUUAAUACUGCAUACGUCCCUUCGGGAGAAAGGUGGCCUCUUGCUACCGCUGAUUGAUGAGCUUGCGUACUAUUAGCUAGUUGGUGAGGUAAAGGCUCACCAAGGCUGUGAUGGUUAGCCGACCUGAGAGGGUGAUCGGCCACAUUGGGACUGAGAUACGGCCCAAACUCCUACGGGAGGCAG